rnacentral:rRNA from 1 species
UACGAAGGGGGCUAGCGUUGUUCGGAAUUACUGGGCGUAAAGCGCACGUAGGCGGAUAUUUAAGUCAGGGGUGAAAUCCCAGAGCUCAACUCUGGAACAGCCUUUGAUACUGGGUAUCUUGAGUAUGAAGAGGUGAGUGGAAUUCCGAGUGUAGAGGUGAAAUUCGUAGAUAUUCGGAGGAACACCAGUGGCGAAGGCGGCUCACUGGUCCAUUACUGACGCUGAGGUGCGAAAGCGUGGGGAGCAAACAGG